rnacentral:rRNA from 1 species
UAAUACGGAGGGAGCUAGCGUUGUUCGGAAUCACUGGGCGUAAAGCGUGCGUAGGCGGUGACUCAAGUCAGAGGUGAAAGCCUGGAGCUCAACUCCAGAACUGCCUUUGAAACUAGGUCGCUAGAAUGUCGGAGAGGUGAGUGGAAUUCCGAGUGUAGAGGUGAAAUUCGUAGAUAUUCGGAAGAACACCAGUGGCGAAGGCGGCUCACUGGACGACUAUUGACGCUGAGGCACGAAAGCGUGGGGAGCAAACAGGAUUAGAUACCCUGGUAGUCCACGCCGUAAACGAUGAUAACUAGCUGCCGGGGCGCUUAGCGUUUCGGCGGCGCAGCUAACGCAUUAAGUUAUCCGCCUGGGGAGUACGGUCGCAAGAUUA